rnacentral:rRNA from 1 species
GGUCAAGCGAAUAAGCGCACACGGUGGAUGCCUAGGCGGUCAGAGGCGAUGAAGGACGUGGUAGCCUGCGAAAAGUGUCGGGGAGCUGGCAACAAGCUUUGAUCCGGCAAUAUCCGAAUGGGGAAACCCACUGCUUCGGCAGUAUCCUGCAGUGAAUUCAUAGCUGCUGGAAGCGAACCCGGUGAACUGAAAUAUCUAAGUAACCGGAGGAAAAGAAAUCAACCGAGAUUCCCUAAGUAGUGACGAGCGAACGGGGAACAGCCCUUAAGCUGGAAUGGCUUUAGAAAAACAAUCUGGAAAGAUUGGCCAUAGAAGGUGAUAGCCCUGUAUUUAAAAGGGCCACUCCAGUGAAGACGAGUAGGGCGGGGCACGUGAAACCCUGUCUGAAUAUGGGGGGACCAUCCUCCAAGGCUAAAUACUCCUGACCGACCGAUAGUGAACCAGUACCGUGAGGGAAAGGCGAAAAGAACCCCGGAGAGGGGAGUGAAAUAGAUCCUGAAACCGUGUGCGUACAAGCAGUAGGAGCUCGCAAGAGUGACUGCGUACCUUUUGUAUAAUGGGUCAGCGACUUACUGUUCGUGGCAAGCUUAACCGUAUAGGGGAGGCGAAGGGAAACCGAGUCUGAUAAGGGCGCAUAGUCGCGGGCAGUAGACCCGAAACCGGGUGAUCUAGUCAUGGCCAGGGUGAAGGUGCCGUAACAGGUACUGGAGGCCCGAACCCACGUCUGUUGCAAAAGACGGGGAUGAGCUGUGAUUAGGAGUGAAAAGCUAAUCGAACCCGGAGAUAGCUGGUUCUCCUCGAAAGCUAUUUAGGUAGCGCCUCGGACGAAUACUACUGGGGGUAGAGCACUGUUAUGGCUAGGGGGUCAUCGCGACUUACCAAACCAUUGCAAACUCCGAAUACCAGUACGUACUAUCCGGGAGACACACGGCGGGUGCUAACGUCCGUCGUGAAAAGGGAAACAACCCAGACCCACAACUAAGGUCCCAAAUUCACUGCUAAGUGGAAAACGAUGUGGAAAGGCAUAGACAGCCAGGAGGUUGGCUUAGAAGCAGCCACCCUUUAAAGAAAGCGUAAUAGCUCACUGGUCGAGUCGGUCUGCGCGGAAGAUUUAACGGGGCUAAGCAGUGAACCGAAGCUUGGGGUGCGUAAAACUUCGGUUUUAUGCGCGGUGGAGGAGCGUUCCGUAAGCCUGCGAAGGUGGAUUGAGAAGUCCGCUGGAGGUAUCGGAAGUGCGAAUGCUGACAUGAGUAACGAUAAUGCGGGUGAAAAGCCCGCACGCCGAAAGCCCAAGGUUUCCUUGCGCAACGUUAAUCGACGCAGGGUUAGUCGGUCCCUAAGGCGAGGGCGAAAGCCGUAGUCGAUGGGAAGCAGGUUAAUAUUCCUGCACCUCGCGUGAGUGCGAUGGAGGGACGGAGAAGGUUAGGUGUACCGGGCGUUGGUUGUCCCGGGGAAAGGCGGUAGGUUUGGAUCUUUGGCAAAUCCGGGAUCCUUUAAGACCGAGCACCGAGACGAGCCUUUAUGGCAAAGUCACUGAUACCACGCUUCCAGGAAAAGCUCCUAAGCUUCAGCUCACGAAGACCGUACCGUAAACCGACACAGGUGGGUAGGAUGAGAAUUCUCAGGCGCUUGAGAGAACUCGGGUGAAGGAACUAGGCAACAUGGCACCGUAACUUCGGGAGAAGGUGCACCCUUUUUGGUGGCUCAUGCGAGCUAUAGCUGAAGAGGGUCGCAGAAACCAGGCCGCUGCGACUGUUUAUCAAAAACACAGCACUCUGCAAACACGAAAGUGGACGUAUAGGGUGUGACGCCUGCCCGGUGCUGGAAGGUUAAUUGAUGGGGUCAGCCGCAAGGCGAAGCUCUUGAUCGAAGCCCCAGUAAACGGCGGCCGUAACUAUAACGGUCCUAAGGUAGCGAAAUUCCUUGUCGGGUAAGUUCCGACCUGCACGAAUGGCGUAACGACAGCGGCGCUGUCUCCACCCGAGACUCAGUGAAAUUGAAAUCGCUGUGAAGAUGCAGCGUUCCCGUGGCAAGACGGAAAGACCCCGUGAACCUUUACUAUAGCUUUACACUGAACGUUGAGUUCGUCUGUGUAGGAUAGGUGGGAGGCUAUGAAACUGUGGCGCUAGCUGCAGUGGAGCCAUCCUUGAAAUACCACCCUGUCGUGCUUGACGUUCUAACCUAGAUCCGUUAUCCGGAUCAGGGACCGUGUAUGGUGGGUAGUUUGACUGGGGCGGUCUCCUCCUAAAGAGUAACGGAGGAGCACGAAGGUACGCUCAGCGCGGUCGGACAUCGCGCACUGUGUGCAAAGGCAUAAGCGUGCUUGACUGCAAGAUCGACGGAUCAAGCAGGUACGAAAGUAGGUCUUAGUGAUCCGGUGGUUCUGUAUGGAAGGGCCAUCGCUCAACGGAUAAAAGGUACUCCGGGGAUAACAGGCUGAUACCGCCCAAGAGUUCAUAUCGACGGCGGUGUUUGGCACCUCGAUGUCGGCUCAUCACAUCCUGGGGCUGUAGUCGGUCCCAAGGGUAUGGCUGUUCGCCAUUUAAAGUGGUACGCGAGCUGGGUUCAGAACGUCGUGAGACAGUUCGGUCCCUAUCUGCCAUGGGCGUUGGAAGUUUGAGAGGGGCUGCUCCUAGUACGAGAGGACCGGAGUGGACGAACCUCUGGUGUUCCGGUUGUCACGCCAGUGGCAUUGCCGGGUAGCUAUGUUCGGAAGCGAUAACCGCUGAAAGCAUCUAAGCGGGAAGCGCGCCUCAAGAUGAGACUUCCCGGGGCACAAGCCCCCUAAAGGAACCAUAUAGACUAUGUGGUUGAUAGGUCAGGUGUGUAAGUACAGCAAUGUAUUGAGCUAACUGAUACUAAUGAUCCGUGCGGCUUGACCAU